GAUCUCAAAAUGACACAGACUACUACUACGCAUGAUCUGUUUCAAAACAUGAUGUAUAGUAAAGUUAAAGAAUUAUUUUUCCUCUUUGACAAACUUACGAUGAUAUUUUGAAACACAGACUUGUGAGGGAAUGACAACACAUGUGGUUGAUACGUCUGCUGUUCACAGCUUCAAGUCAGAAGCAGUACUGAAAAAUGAAGUUAAGAAGAUAAACCUUUUUACAACAUUUUCCUUCGCUUUCUUCAAGAGUGGGACCCUUUGUAUCAUGCACAAUGAAGUAUAUGAAGAAGAGAGAGAACACAUAUCACCCCAAAUCCACAGAUCAGUACUCGAGCUCCUGCAGAAAAAUACAAGCCAAGAGCUAAAUGGGGAAUCUCUAGAGGGAGCGUCUCAAUAGAUCUUCAGUGCGAGUCCAAGCCAUGUCCAGGUCUAUGCAAGCUCAAGAGGAUGGAGCUCAUGUAAGAUUAUGUUUUAAUUUUAUCAGUCUCUGAACCUCUCAGUUUAGAAAACGCACACACAUACACUAAAUGAUACUUGAAUAAACAUAGAGUAUUUGUUUAUGGUGUGAUCCAAUUGGAGUAUGAGUGUGCAAGAUAUUUGAUCAGAAUGGUGGCUAUGGAUCAUCUUCUCCUUCGCAAAUUCUUUAAAAUAUUAAGUCAAGUGACAUACUUUAAUUCCCACUGAUUACAUAUAUACUUUUAUUAUUUCAAUCAUGUUUUUUUGUUCCUAUACAUGAUGAAAAUUCAGAGAUAGCGUAGAGAUUAAGGAGCAGACUGCUGAAACAUGAGGCAAGAAGCUUGCUGCGGCAUAUUGUGAAGGAUGUUCCAAACGGUGUGCUGAAACAUAUUACCCUUCAGAAAAAUGAAGACAAGCCUGUUACUAACUCUAGAGACACCCAAGAAGUCAAGUUGGAGCAAGGUUUGAAUUGUGAAAAUUUUCAAGGAGCAUACGAGCAAGAUUUGCAUUUCGAAUGACUUUUCUUUCUAUGAGGUUCGACAGAAGACUAUCUUGGAGAAGAAAGCGAAGCAACAUCAAACCCAUAAACAGGUAAGUGAGGAGAAUAGUACAGAGGAUGAGAAAAAGAAAUCUGAAACUGCUGAUCCGGCUCAUAAGGAAUCUCCUCCAGCUGCUUAAACUACCGGUGAUGUCAAGGUUGAUGAGAAUGAAUCUGUUUCUAAACCAGUUGAUGUGGUGGAAAAUGGUUGUUAGGUAGAUUAGUUGAUGCUGCGCACAGCUUGAGCAUAAACGCAACUAGAGAGAAGGUUUCUCUUGAGAACAAGUGCGGUGAGCUUUGAAGCAAAGAGGAGCUUUAGUACCUAAGACCGGGAACUGUUUCUUUGCCCUUAGAAAGUAACAUCAAUUUCAUAUCUAUUUUUGUUUGUUUUCACAUAUCUUUACACUUUUCUGUUUUUUUCGCUUUUUCAUUUUCUGUUGAUGCUCCUACCCCGUAAAAUUGCUUAUACUAAAUAGUGGGAAGUAGUAGGAAAAAUGAGAUAAAA